rnacentral:lncRNA from 1 species
GCUCCAACACUUCAAGAUGUGAGGGAUCCGAAGUGGAAGUAUGGAAUGGCAAUAACACUCAAUUUUAAGGUAAGUUGUUAUGUUCCUCAUGUCUCUUUUUUCAUAAAUAGUGAAGUAAUUUUCUCUUUAUUUUCUCUUGCUUCAUGCAUAUGCUGAUAUGCACAGGUCUUUGAGUUACAAAAGUCGUAACUGCAAAUCCGUAAUCCAAGAACAAAUCCAACGUCAAGUGGUAAAAUCUCUCUGUCUCUCUUCUCAAAGUACAAAAAUUAACAUAAACAUCAAAACCAAAAAAAAUAAAAAUAAUUACCACAAACACCCAACACAAAAACAACAACAUACCCACGAGGCCACGACAAAACAAAAACUCCAAACUCAAACUACUUAAACUUCACUUGCCCACGAAACACACAAUAAUCGACAAAAAAAAAAUUCCAAACGCACACUAAAAACUUCUCACGGCCACGAAACACACAAGAAUCGACAAAAACACCACACUCGCACUAAAAAUUCGCAUGACCACGAAAUACAACACAAACACUACUUUUGUUUUUCGUUAUUUUGGUUGAUGAAACAUACAUUAAUUUGUAACCUUAUUUUAUGUAAAAUUCAUUUUCUCUGGAUGUAAGAUUUU